UGGGGAAUCUUGCGCAAUGCGCGAAAGCGUGACGCAGCAACGCCGCGUGGGGGAAGAAGGCCUUCGGGUUGUAAACCCCUUUCAGGAGGGACGAAGGUUCGCCGGUGAAUAGCCGUGCGGAUUGACGGUACCUCCACAAGAAGCUCCGGCUAACUACGUGCCAGCAGCCGCGGUAAUACGUAGGGAGCAAGCGUUGUCCGGAAUCAUUGGGCGUAAAGCGCGCGUAGGUGGCCCCAUAAGUCCGCUGUGAAAGUCAAAGGCUCAACCUUUGAAAGCCGGUGGAUACUGUGGGACUAGAGUACGGAAGAGGCGAGUGGAAUUCCUGGUGUAGCGGUGGAAUGCGCAGAUAUCAGGAGGAACACCAAUAGCGAAGGCAGCUCGCUGGGACGUUACUGACACUGAGGCGCGAAAGCGUGGGGAGCGAACAGGAUUAGAUACCCUGGUAGUCCACGCCGUAAACGAUGGGUACUAGGUGUGGGAGGUGUCGACUCCUCCCGUGCCGUCGACCG
rnacentral:rRNA from 1 species